rnacentral:rRNA from 1 species
GAUGAACGCUAGCGGCAGGCUUAAUACAUGCAAGUCGUGGGGCAGCAUGAGUAGCAAUACUUGAUGGCGACCGGCAAACGGGUGAGGAACACGUACACAACCUUCCUUCAAGCGGGGAAUAGCCCAGAGAAAUUUGGAUUAAUACCCCAUAAUAUAUUUGAUAAGGCAUCUUAUUUAUAUUAAAGCUUCGGCACUUGAUGAUGGGUGUGCGGCUGAUUAGAUAGUUGGCGGGUAACGGCCCACCAAGUCUACGAUCAGUAGCUGAUGUGAGAGCAUGAUCAGCCACACGGGCACUGAAACACGGGCCCGACUCCUACGGGAGGCAGCAGUAAGGAAUAUUGGACAAUGGACGAAAGUCUGAUCCAGCCAUGCCGCGUGAAGGAUUAAGGUCCUCUGGAUUGUAAACUUCUUUUAUAUGGGACGAAAAAGGGCAUUCUUGUUCACUUGACGGUACCAUAUGAAUAAGCACCGGCUAACUCCGUGCCAGCAGCCG